AUUUCUGUCUCAUAAAAAAAUCUUUACAUAAGACACAGGGCUACAUAUGUAAAUAAUUUCUGGAUGUCUAUUAAUAUUUAGUGAAAAAAAUUAGAUUCAUAGCAAUGAGACCAGAUUGGCUUCAGUCCAAGUAAUGUGUCUCCAUUAAUCUGUGAUCACCAUGAGCAGUUUUUAAAAUUUUUCUCAAAUUAUUUUUAAGUUACUGUGUUCAAUAAAGUACACUUUUUGUGGGGGUGAUGAAAUAGCACAAAAUAUUAAGUGUGAUAUGCUACUCCUUGAUCUCUGUACCACCAUCAUUUCUAUACUUGCUAGAAUUGUGGAAUUAUUCAAACAUGAUAGCUAAAUUAAUUGUAAUUUUGCUUUUAUGGCUUUUGUCUCAAUUGAUGGCUUGUGGAAGAACUGUUAGUAUUAUUUUGAGGAUAUAACUGCUGCCUAACAUGACACAGAUAAUUAAGUCCUUAGAGACUAGCGCUAAUGAUUACUAUCAGCAACACAGUUUUGCUGUUCUGUUGUCAUGAUCUCUCUAGCUGACCUUAUUUAUUUUAUUUUAUUUUAUUUUAUUACUAGCUGUGCCCGGCCACGCGUUGCUGUGGCAAAGUCUGGUGGUAUGGGAAAUAAAGUAUUGAGGAAUUGGAGGUAGUUAAGGUAAAGGGUAAAGGUUUUUUCCUGAUAUUAAGUCCAGUCAUGUGUGAGUGUGUGGGUUGGUGAUCAUGUGUAUUUGUAAGUCGAAGAGGUGGCAUUGUUUGUAGAGUCCUUGGAGGUCAUGUGGGUGGUAUGACUGUAUGGAGCGCUGUAAGUUUUGUGUCAGAGGAAUACUGAUAUUUGGUUGUUUAUUUGGAUGAUAUUGGAUGUAGUGAUUUUUGGAUGUUUUGGAACUGUUGGGUUGGGAGAAGGUGGGGUAAUAGUGGGGGUUGCCUCCGUUUUUCGAAUUCAAACGUGCGACGUUUCAUUGGAGAAGUUGAGUAGGUUAGCGGUUGAAGACGCUGCGUCAUUAGGGGAUAUUAUUUCCUAAAGGUUGCGAAUAUACAAUAUUUGUGAUUAUUGGGGUUUUUUGUCUGUUGGAGGUAAGUAUGAAUGGUGUAUAAGAGAUGUUGUAGGUGUUGUGAAUGGGUAUAGAGUACGUUAUCAUCGGUAUAUUAGAGUUGAAUAAGAGAUGUUGUAGGUGUCGUGAAUGGGUAUAGAGUACGUUAUCAUCGGUAUAUUAGAGUUGUAUAAGAGAUGUUGUAGGUGUCGUGAAUGGGUAUAGAGUACGUUAUCAUCGGUAUAUUAGAGUUGUAUAAGAGAUGUUGUAGGUGUCGUGAAUGGGGAUAGAGUACGUUAUCAUCGGUAUAUUAGAGUUGUAUAAGAGAUGUUGUAGGUGUUGUGAAUGGGUAUAGAGUACGUUAUCAUCGGUAUAUUAGAGUUGUAAAAGAGAUGUUGUAGGUGUUGUGAAUGGGGAUAGAGUACGUUAUCAUGGGUAUAUUAGAGUUGUAUAAGAGAUGUUGUAGGUGUUGUGAAUGGGUAUAGAGUACGUUAUCAUGGGUAUAUUAGAGUUGUAUAAGAGAUGUUGUAGGUGUUGUGAAUGGGUAUAGAGUACGUUAUCAUGGGUAUAUUAGAAACGUUAGGAUUGUAUGAUGAUGUUGUUGUUGUUGUUAUUAUUAUUAUUAUUAUUGAGAGGCUGGGUGGCCAUCUGUUGGUAGUGCUUGGAUUGUGUCCUGCAUGGCAGAUGGUGGGAGGUGUUAGCUGGCCGUGAUUGUUUAGUGUCUGGCAUUCCUGUGUUUUAAGAGUGUUGUUUUUUAUUUGGUGUUGUGAUUUUAAGCUUGUUAAAAUAUUAGGAGUCAGAUUGUGUUGAUUGUCAUGAUUGAUAGCAUAUAUUUAAAAUAUUGAGUGUUAAAAUGGGUUGGAUAGUGUAGAAGGGAGAGUAUAUGGAGAGAAAUAAUUCGGAUGAUGGGCGGGCACUAGGACCCAGGGGACAGCUUUUUCCCUUUGCCUGCCUUUCCUCUUGCGGCGGCG